UCCCCGUUGCCGGGGCAGUCUGAAUAGAAAAAUACAACUAUUCACAAGGGUUGCGCUCGUUAAUGGACUUAACCAAACAUCUCACGACACGAGCUGACGACGGCCAUGCAUCAUCUGUCACAGGGUUCCAAAAGGCACACUCUGCUUUCGCAGUGCUUCCCUGGAUGUCAAGCCCUGGUAAGGUUCUUCGUUUAUCAUCGAAUUAAAGAACACGAUCCACCGCUUGUGCGGGUCCCCGUCAAUUCCUUUAUGUUUUAGUCUUGCGACCGUACUCCACAGGCGGGAUACUUAACGCGUUAGCUUCGCUACUGAAGGGGUCGAUACCUCCAACAGCUAGUAUCCAUCGUUUACGGCGUGGACUAC
rnacentral:misc_RNA from 1 species